rnacentral:rRNA from 1 species
UACGUAGGGUGCAAGCGUUAAUCGGAAUUACUGGGCGUAAAGCGUGCGCAGGCGGUUUUGUAAGUCGGGUGUGAAAUCCCCGGGCUCAACCUGGGAACUGCAUUUGUGACUGCAUAGCUAGAGUACGGUAGAGGGGGAUGGAAUUCCGCGUGUAGCAGUGAAAUGCGUAGAUAUGCGGAGGAACACCGAUGGCGAAGGCAACCCCCUGGACCUGUACUGACGCUCAUGCACGAAAGCGUGGGGAGCAAACAGG